rnacentral:lncRNA from 1 species
GUUCCAUCCAGAAAGGCGGGGACAACUGGAAGCAGGAAGGGGGGUUUCCAGGUCACAGGUCAUCCUGUUGCCUGGGAUGAAGUGUCACAUAGUUUGAAUCCACAUUGCUUGCUGACUUCAUGGGGUGAAUGAACUUUUCCAAGAUUCUGGAAGCCUAUUGUAAUUUGUGUUCUCUACAUUUUCCUGAGGUCCCAGGGAUGCCGUGACUACUAAGCUCUAUGGUAGGAGUUGGGGCAGGAGGUGAGUAGAGGUGACCAAUGACUGGUGUGCCAAGGUCUUUCCCCCUCUGAGAUUCCAGUCAAUUCCAGGCAUGGAGUUGUGGUUAAAAGAACCUCAGAUGACAUAAGAACAAUACAACGGACAUUGGGGACUUGGAGGAAAGAGUGGAAAGGAGGCAAGGGAUAAAAGACUACAAAUAUGGUGCAGUGUAUACUGCUCAGGUGAUGGGUGCACCAAAAUCUCACGAAUCACCACUAAAGAACUUACUCAUGUAACCAAAUACCACCUAUAUCCCAAUAACUCAUGGAAAAAUAAACUAAAAUAAUUUUAAAAAAGAUUUAAAUAUAACCUCCUCAGAAAGGCCUUUCCUGACCACUCAAAGAUAGCCACCCAGUUACUCUCUAUAUCAUUCAGUUUUAAUUCCUUAAUUAGCUCAUGCUGUUUAUUUUGUAAUUGUUUGUUCCCCACUCCAGAUAUAAAACACAUCAGAGCAGGACCCUUAUCUUGCUCAUCGCUGUAUCCCAGAGUGCUCGAUAAAUAUUUGUUGAUUGAAGGACCGUCUUCCGAUUCAGUGACAGAGAGGUGGGCCAUGAGGGAAAUAAGGAAAAAAGUAGAAACAGGAAAUGAAGAAAAUCAGAAACAAUUUAAUACUCUAUUGUGUGCAAAAAUGAAGUAGAAAGAAGAGACAAGAAAAUGUACAUAAAGGGGUUAGAAGAAGGAGAGAGGAAAAUAAAUUACUGUUAUGUUUUGGAAAAACUCUUAACUAGAGGGAAGGGAACUAACUUUAUUGAGCUCCCUCUAUGUAGGAAACCUAAAUUACCAGAUGAUGUGGGGUUUUUGUUUGUUUGUUUGUUUGUUUGUUUUUUUGGACAGAUUUUAUUUCAACUUAGAGUCAUCACCAAAAUUACUUUCCUCAUUUUCAACCUUUUCCUAGGAAGAAAAGAAAGUGAGCUAUUUUAUUCUAUAGAAAGAAAAACAAAUGCCUAUUUGUUUUCAUCAAGUGAAAUUGUCAAGGAUGACUGGCAGUGCCAUUCACUGAGAAAGAGUACUAGAAGAAGUGUUUUGCAGGGAAAUCAUGAGUUUCAUUUUUAACAGGUUAAAAUUGAGAUAUUUUGAAAUAUUCAAGUAAAGGUGUUGACAAGAUAAUGGGAUAUAUCACUCAGAGGAGAGGUCUGAGCUGGAGGUCUAAAUCUUUGAUGUAUGGAUGAUAAUUGAAGCCAUAGGCAUGGAUGUGAGUGUCUAGAGAGAAAGAACAGCAUAUGAAAAAAAUGGGGUUUCAUGGAUGUACCUUAAGGAGCUCCAGUAUUUAAGGUUUAGGUGGUAGGAGACAAGCUUUUGAAGGAGACUCAGAAGGAAUGGUCAGGAGAAUAUGGUUUUAUGAAAACCAAGGGAAUAUACUGUUUCAAGGAGAAUAAUGGUCAGCAGAGUUGAAUGCUGCUGAGACACCAAAGAAAAUGAGAAUUGAAAAUGUUUAUUCCCUUUAGUGACAUUGAAGUCUUUGACCUCAGUGAAAGUAAUUUUAGCAGAGUGGAGAUGGAAUCUGAGUCAUUUUAACAUCCACAGUACCUUUCCAUAGAGUAGAUAUUUGAUAUGUUUUUUCAUUUGCUUUACCAUGAAAUGUAUAAUUAUGCAGCAGAAUGUAUAACGUAUAUGUAAUAUUUGAAGAACAAAAUGAACAACAUUUACCCAUAACCUGUUAGGAAACAACUUUAGAAGACACCUGUGUGUCCCUCCCUGCUUGCAUCUAGCUUCUUCGUCUGCCCAGGUGGACUGCUCUUACCGUUGCAGUAAGUGUUCCCUUGCUUCUCUUUUAUAGUUUUACUGCCUAUGAGUGAUUCCCUAAACAAUACACUGUUAUUUUUAAAAUAUACUUUUUUAGUUUUAACUGGUUUUGAACUCUUUAUAAAUGGAAUUAUACUGUAUUCAUUCUGAAAAUAAAAAGAACCUCAGAUGAACCAAGGAUAAUAAAGUGCUG